rnacentral:rRNA from 1 species
AGUAGGGAAUCUUCCGCAAUGGACGAAAGUCUGACGGAGCAACGCCGCGUGAGCGAUGAAGGCCUUCGGGUCGUAAAGCUCUGUUGUUAGGGAAGAACAAGUAUCGGAGUAACUGCCGGUACCUUGACGGUACCUAACCAGAAAGCCACGGCUAACUACGUGCCAGCAGCCGCGGUAAUACGUAGGUGGCAAGCGUUGUCCGGAAUUAUUGGGCGUAAAGCGCGCGCAGGCGGUCCUUUAAGUCUGAUGUGAAAGCCCACGGCUCAACCGUGGAGGGUCAUUGGAAACUGGGGGACUUGAGUGCAGAAGAGGAAAGCGGAAUUCCACGUGUAGCGGUGAAAUGCGUAGAGAUGUGGAGGAACACCAGUGGCGAAGGCGGCUUUCUGGUCUGUAACUGACGCUGAGGCGCGAAAGCGUGGGGAGCAAA